rnacentral:misc_RNA from 1 species
AUUUAUUUCUUUGAAUUUUAUUAUUCUUGAAAAAUUAAUUUCGAACAAAAUCUUGCGUUGCACUAUUAUUUGUGCAAUGUUUCGGACAUUUCCUAGAUCUAUUUUCCUAGAUUUAUUUUAUGGAAAUAAACAAAUGUUUUCUCUUUUGAUUUUUCAAAAAAUAUACACAGGCAAGUGGAACAUAAUGGAACGCUUAGUUUUGUUAUUUCAUGAACAAAGUUCAGAAAUAAAUACGUCAUCUUCUUACCGAGCGCCGGUGCAAGCCUCAUGGGCCCACCCUUGACAUUUCACGAAUCGUGUCAAUUUCCCGGGAAACUAGGACAGCAAUUACAAUUUUAUUUCACGAUCUACUAAUUGCAAAAAAGAAUAAUAAGUACCAGGAAACAUUUCUAAUCUCUCCUAUAAAUAUAUGUACAGACGUUAUACCUCACUUAUCUCAUUUACUACCAAAAUGUUCCCUUUUGUCUCAUAACAUUUAAUAUUUACACUUCAACGUGGUAUAAAGAACCAGAUAAAACGUCAAAAUACAACGUAAGGGCUACGGAAUUCAAUGUUGUGUUUAUUGUUCUAAAUUUUCAAAAUACAGGUUUUAAAAGAUGGCAGAGAAAUCAACACAGAAUCAAAAUAUCCACAUCAAAAAUUUCUUCGAGUCUGUCAGUCAAGAAAUAACGUGUGUACUGGUCGAUGGUCGAUCACGAACUAUUGUAAGGACGUUCAGUCUCAUAUCAUACGACAACAAUUCGUUCGUAUCUCUUAUCUAAGAGAAACAUUGACGUUCAAUUUUAUUCAUCUGCUCCGUUAUACCUUAUUUUCCCCUAUAACGUAUUUUAUAUUUAGCAUAUUGUAUAUUUAACUGCAUUAGUUAGUCGAUGUUUGUUACUCGAAUCCUUUAUAUAUCAUUGCAAUGAAAACACGCAUAGCCUAACUAUUUCACUCGAAGCUUACGUUAAAGGUUAACUAUUUUCUUGUGAAAUGUUAGACAAUAAUAAACAGCCAUUAAAUUAGCGCAAGAGGCAACUGCGACAUAUGAAUUCUUACGGUAUUACCUAUUUCGUCAUUGUGCAUAUGUACAGGCAGUGACACAUGCUGAUAAUUGCAUGAAGUGUUAGUAAACCCGCAUAGAGAAAAAUUGUAACUAAUUUUUAUCACAGUUCCAUUAUGUAUUUAAAAGCGAGUAAUAUCGACUUUGUUAAGUUUUCUGGCACAGAAUAAGACUGAGAAAAUCGAAGGUCUUUGUUUAUUAAGACCGUAACCCAAGUGUUUAUGGCUGAAUGAAUUACUU